AAUAAAAGUGGUGGGAACCAAAGUGCCGUGUAUAAAUAGUAGAUACAAGCCAGCACAAAUUAUCAACUUGUACAAGCACCAUCAAUUUUGUAGGAGAUUUAUGCUCCAAAUUAAAAGGCAAAGCAUGCGAGCCUGAUGGGUCAUGCUUCUUCUUCUUCUUAUUCUCUUCUCCAUAUAUUCUCAUCGACGAUCGGCCUCAGAUUCCCACCACUCUGUCUCUCCCAUUUUUUCUCAGCCAUGUUCGCUUUUGCAGCUGGUUCUUCCAGGAUUUUUCUUUUGUUUUAGUAGGACUGCUGAGAAGUUCAAGCACCUCCUAUAAAAACACUGCAACGCAAACACAUUAGGUCAGUUUUGAACAAAAAAAAAAAGCGAAGUGCGAAAGUUUAGACUCGAAAAGAGUAAAGAAAGAAGAAGAUGGGUUU
rnacentral:sRNA from 1 species